rnacentral:rRNA from 1 species
UGGAAGGGCCAUCGCUCAACGGAUAAAAGGUACUCCGGGGAUAACAGGCUGAUACCGCCCAAGAGUUCAUAUCGACGGCGGUGUUUGGCACCUCGAUGUCGGCUCAUCACAUCCUGGGGCUGAAGUCGGUCCCAAGGGUAUGGCUGUUCGCCAUUUAAAGUGGUACGCGAGCUGGGUUUAGAACGUCGUGAGACAGUUCGGUCCCUAUCUGCCGUGGGCGUUUGAUAUUUGAGAGGAGUUGACCUUAGUACGAGAGGACCGGGUUGAACGUAUCUCUGGUGUUCCGGUUGUCACGCCAGUGGCAUCGCCGGGUAGCUAAAUACGGACAGGAUAACCGCUGAAAGCAUCUAAGCGGGAAGCCCACCUUAAGAUUAGAUUUCCCUAAAGAGCCGUUGUAGACUACGACGUUGAUAGGUUGGGUGUGUAAGCGCUGUGAGGUGUUGAGCUAACCAAUACUAAUUGCCCGUG